rnacentral:misc_RNA from 1 species
GUUUCCGUAGGUGAACCUGCGGAAGGAUCAUUAAAGAGUAAGGGUCUUCGGGCCCGAUCUCCAACCCUUUGUUUAACUACCAUGUUGCUUUGGCGGGCCCGUCUCACGACCGCCGGAAGUUUGGCUUCGACCAAACUUCUGGCCCGUGCCCGUCAGUGGCCCCUUCAAAUUCUUGAUCAAGUAUGAUGUCUUAGUUAAAAACUUAAUAGUUAAAACUUUCAACAACGGAUCUCUUGGUUCUG